rnacentral:rRNA from 1 species
UCCGGAGGGGACUAGCGUUGUUCGGAAUUACUGGGCGUAAAGCGCCCGUAGGCGGAUUUGUAAGUCAGAGGUGAAAGCCCAGGGCUCAACCUUGGAAUUGCCUUUGAUACUGGCUGUCUUGAGUUCGGGAGAGGUGAGUGGAAUGCCGAGUGUAGAGGUGAAAUUCGUAGAUAUUCGGCGGAACACCAGUGGCGGAGGCGACUCACUGGCCCGAUACUGACGCUGAGGCGCGAAAGCGUGGGGAGCAAACAGG